GGUCUACACAUCACAAGGAAGAUAUUGAUACCAAUUUUGAGAAGUUUGGUGAAGGUUUAGCAAGUUACAAUUAAAGUUACCAAAGACUCAGGAAAAGGGAAGGAAACACUGAGUCCAGAUCAGGGGGACAGUCAUCAGAGGUAGAGAGACAGACAGGGCAGCAGGCUAGGCUGCUAGUAUCGCCAGCGAGAGAUUUUUGGGUAUAGUGAGUAUACCACAUGUGGCAUUUUGUACUGUAAUGUAUAUUCACUGUAUGUAUAUUUUGUUCUUGGUUUUGAGCAGUUGUAAAUUUAAGUUGUACAGUAAAGUUGUAAAAUAAUUAUGAGUUA